rnacentral:rRNA from 1 species
AUGAAAAAGGAUCUUGUCCGUCAAACAGGGCUUCACGGCAUCCUUCAGCUGAAGUUAACUAAAGUUAACAGACAGUAUGGCGCAUGGCUUCUGAGCAAGAUUGAUGUUGAUUCAUGUGCCAUCGUAGCUGAUCUUCAUAAAGUGAUCCCCUUCUCUGCGAGGGACGUUAAUUCAGUCUUGGGUGUACCAUGCAGCGGGAGAACCAUUGAGACCUGUAACCAAGAUGAGGUAGAACGGAAUAAGAGGAUUCUUUGUGAUAUUUUUGAGGUUCCACACUUUUCACAGGUUACUGUUAAGUUUUUGGAGGCAAUUCUUAAUAAACAAUAUUCAUAUCCGAUGAGCUUAAAGGACCAACGAUCGUUCAAGGCGGCAUUUGUCCUUUAUGUC